rnacentral:rRNA from 1 species
CCUACGGGAGGCAGCAGUGGGGAAUAUUGCACAAUGGGGGAAACCCUGAUGCAGCGACGCCGCGUGAGUGAAGAAGUAAUUCGUUAUGUAAAGCUCUAUCAGCAGGGAAGAAAAUGACGGUACCUGAGUAAGAAGCCCCGGCUAACUACGUGCCAGCAGCCGCGGGAAUACGUAGGGGGCAAGCGUUAUCCGGAUUUACUGGGUGUAAAGGGAGCGUAGACGGCAGUGCAAGUCUGGAGUGAAAGGCGGGGGCUCAACCCCCGGACUGCUCUGGAAACUGUACGGCUGGAGUGCAGGAGAGGUAAGUGGAAUUCCUAGUGUAGCGGUGAAAUGCGUAGAUAUUAGGAGGAACACCAGUGGCGAAGGCGACUUUCUGGACAGUAACUGACGUUGAGGCACGAAAGUGUGGGGAGCAAACAGGAUUAGAUACCCGGGUAGUC